GACGAACGCUGGCGGCGUGCUUAACACAUGCAAGUCGAGCGAUGAAAGCCUUAUGAACUAUUCGUAGUGAUUGAGGCCGGAUUAGCGGCGGACGGGUGAGUAACGCGUGAGCAACCUGCCUUAAACAACGGGAUAGCCUCGGGAAACCGGGAUUACUACCGUAUGAGACCCCGCUUUCACCUGAAGAAGAGGUUAAAGAUUUAUCGGUUUAAGAUGGGCUCGCGUCUGAUUAGCUAGUUGGUGAGAUAAAAGCCCACCAAGGCAACGAUCAGUAACCGGCUUGAGAGAGUGAACGGUCACAUUGGAACUGAGACACGGUCCAAACUCCUACGGGAGGCAGCAGUGGGGAAUAUUGCACAAUGGGGGAAACCCUGAUGCAGCGACGCCGCGUGAGCGAUGAAGGAAUUCGUUUCGUAAAGCUCUGUCCAAGGGGAAGAUAAUGACAGUACCCUUGGAGGAAGCCCCGGCUAAAUACGUGCCAGCCGCCGCAGUAA
rnacentral:rRNA from 1 species